rnacentral:rRNA from 1 species
GACGAACGCUGGCGGCGUGCCUAAUACAUGCAAGUUGAGCGAUGAAGAUUGGUGCUUGCACCAAUUUGAAGAGCAGCGAACGGGUGAGUAACGCGUGGGGAAUCUGCCUUUGAGCGGGGGACAACAUUUGGAAACGAAUGCUAAUACCGCAUAAUAACUUUAAACAUAAGUUUUAAGUUUGAAAGAUGCAAUUGCAUCACUCAAAGAUGAUCCCGCGUUGUAUUAGCUAGUUGGUGAGGUAAAGGCUCACCAAGGCGAUGAUACAUAGCCGACCUGAGAGGGUGGUCGGCCACAUUGGGACUGGGACACGGCCCAAACUCCUACGGGAGGCAGCAGUAGGGAAUCUUCGGCAAUGGACGAAAGUCUGACCGAGCAACGCCGCGUGAGUGAAGAAGGGUUUCGGAUCGUAAAACUCUGUUGGUAGAGAAGAACGUUGGUGAGAGUGGAAAGCUCAUCAAGUGACGGUAACUACACAGAAAGGGACGGCUAACUACGUG